rnacentral:misc_RNA from 1 species
UGUUUAGGAGCCUCUUCCCUGGCAUGUUGUUGAAUCUCAUUUGUUGGUUGUGCCAGCUCUGAAGCUGGAUUCUGGGGUUUCUCAUCGGGAUGACUGGAAGGAGGAGGGGAAGACGGAGUGGCCAUGGACUCACCACGGUUGACUGAAAGGAUGAGAAAUUGAUGACGGUAGCUAUGGUGGUGGGUGUCAGAACUCAGAAGUGGUUUCUGCUCAUUUCGAAGCGCGAGCGUGUGGCAGUGCUCCAAGUUGGCAGUUGUGGCGAUGUUUAGAAAGGC